rnacentral:misc_RNA from 1 species
GAUGAAGAACGUAGCGAAAUGCGAUAAGUAAUGCGAAUUGCAGAAUUCCGUGAGUCAUCGAAUCUUUGAACGCACAUUGCGCCCGCCAGUAUUCUGGCGGGCAUGCCUGUCUGAGCGUCAUUUCAACCCUCAGCCCCCGCUCGCGGGGCGCUGGCGUUGGGGAUCGGCCGUCCUCGCGGCGGCCGGCCCCGAAACACAGUGGCGGUCUCUCGCGGACUCCCCUGCGUAGUAGCACUACCUCGCAGAAGGGACGAGCGGGCUGACCACGCCGUAAAACCCCCCACUUCUCCAGGUUGACCUCAGAUCAGGUAGGAAUACCCGCUGAACUUAAGCAUAUCAAUAAGCGGAGGA